rnacentral:rRNA from 1 species
GAUGAACGCUGGUGGCGUGCCUAAUACAUGCAAGUCGAGCGAACAGAUAAGGAGCUUGCUCCUUUGACGUUAGCGGCGGACGGGUGAGUAACACGUGGGUAACCUACCUAUAAGACUGGGAUAACUUCGGGAAACCGGAGCUAAUACCGGAUAACAUUUGGAACCGCAUGGUUCUAAAGUGAAAGAUGGUUUUGCUAUCACUUAUAGAUGGACCCGCGGUGCAUUAGCUAGUUGGUGAGGUAACGGCUCACCAAGGCCACGAUGCAUAGCCGACCUGAGAGGGUGAUCGGCCACACUGGGACUGAGACACGGCCCAGACUCCUACGGGAGGCAGCAGUAGGGAAUCUUCGGCAAUGGACGAAAGUCUGACCGAGCAACGCCGCGUGAGUGAAGAAGGUUUUCGGAUCGUAAAACUCUGUUGUUAGAGAAGAACAAGGACGUUAGUAACUGAACGUCCCCUGACGGUAUCUAACCAGAAAGCCACGGCUAACUACGUG